GGAGAUGUCACUCAGUGGUAGAGCACUAGCCUGGCAUACCUGACAUUCUGAGUUUGAAUCCCAGUAUCACCA
rnacentral:tRNA from 1 species